UACAGGGGGUGCAAACGUUGCUCGGAAUCAUUGGGCGUAAAGCGCACGUAGGCGGUUUGUUAUGUCGGAUGUGAAAGCCCUUGGCUCAACUGAGGAAGUGCAUCCGAAACUGGCAAGCUAGAGUACUAAAGAGGGUCGCGGAAUUCCCGGUGUAGAGGUGAAAUUCGUAGAUAUGCGGAGGAACACCGGUGGCGAAGGCGGCCAUCUGGACGAGUACUGACGCUGAGACGCGAAAAGCGUGGGGAGCAAACAGG
rnacentral:rRNA from 1 species